rnacentral:rRNA from 1 species
GGGACGGGCCCCCUGCCCCCGACGCGGCUGUCGACCGGUCCGGACUGUCCUCAGUCCGUGUCUGACCGCGCCGGCGGCCCAGGGCGGGGAUCGGCUCUCGUCGAGCGCUCGGGGUCUGCGGCGAAGCGGCUACCC